UGGUCCAAUCAAACGGUCACACCCCUUGGCACACCCCUGAGCUGCCCUUUGCCAACCCUCCAGCUCCGCCUCCGGCCCUGCAGCCUGGCUCCCAGCAGAGCUCGUCCCUGCCCACUACAGCCUGGAGCUUCCUGAGUGCUAUGCUAAAGGACACAAGCCACUGCUCCUGGCUUGGAGAUGAGGAGAGAUGCUCUUCACCGAGAGUUCAGCCUGGAGUAUGGACUAAGGCAGGAUGCCAUGAUCUCGCCAAGUUCCCAGACCCUGUGGAUGCUGCUGGUGCAGGGCCACGGUGAGAGAACAGCCUUACCGAACUUCUGGUGAAAGACACCAUCUGGUAUGAAAUUCUUAGGCCGUUCCAGAGGUGAAGCCAGUAGUUCUGGAGGUGAGAAGAGCCACUCUAGAAGGCUUCGCAGAAGAGCUCAAAUGGCCAAUUGGAGGGUGGGGGAUGGUGACUAGACUUUUAAAGAAAUGUGGUCAUGGGGUUCCCAGACCACAGAAGAUUCCACAGUUCCUCAGGUGGCAGAGGGGCCAAGGAACAGAAGACCUGAAGUCAUGAGCAAGAGCGUAGGCAUUGUAGGCAUCAGGUUCUUUGGGUGCCUGGUUCCAGCAAAGACUCCAAAACCUCUGCACAGCUCAGAUGGAGAGGAAGAAAGGCUGUCUACAUUGUUAUUGUGUUAAUCCAUUUUGCAUUACUAUAAGCAACAUACCUGAGGCCAGAAGACUUAUAAAGAAGUCUGACUUGAAACACGUUCUUCAGGGCAAGGUCCACAUCUGGUGAUGUGAUGUAUGUUGUUGACAGGGUUUCCACUAGCCCAGGGCUUCACAGUGUAGGACAGAAAUGCACUUGUGUGUUGUCACGGUCAGUGUUCUGUUGCUGUGAGGUGACACCACAACCAUGGCUGCUUUUACAAAGGAAAACAUUUAAUUGGGGCUGGCUUACAGUUUCAGAGAGUUAGUCCAUUAUCAACGUGGCCCAUAGCAUGAAGACGCACAGGCAGACAUGAUGCUGGAGAAGUAGCUGAGAGUUCUACAUCUGGAUCCACAGACAGAAGGAAGAGGGCUUUUGAAACCUCAAAGCGACCCCCAGUGACACACUUCCCCCAACAAGGCUGUACCUACUCCAACAAGGCCACACCUCCUAAUCCCUCUCAAGUAGUGCCACUCCCUGAGGACCAAGCAUUCAAAUCUAUGAGCCUCUGGAGGCCAUUCUUAUUCACACCACCACAGUGCACCUCUGUAGUCCUGGUAUUUGGUACUCGGGAGGUGGGAGCAGGAACAUCAGGAGUUCAAGGUCAGCCUCAAGAAAGGUGGAAAGGGGAAGAGAGGAGACAAGGAAAGAAGGGAGGGAGGGAGAGGACAGUCACAAUGUGUAGUACAGUCCUCCCCUCCCCAGGGCCCUCAGUGUGGCUUCCUCGUAGCAAGACUGAUGUUCUGCAGAACAAUCUAGGAAACAAGGAAGGUGCAUGCGGCGUCUUGUGACCCAGCCUUGGAAGUAAGGUGUGUCUUCCUUUCCAGUCCACAGUGGAGCUCAGAAAGGACCACCCUGUUCAGAGGGAGGAAAUGGCUCAGCCUCCUCUCUGAGAAGGUGGGGUUCUAGGCUAGUCGCUGGCAUGGCAGAAGCGGCUGCAGGCUUCAAAUGGGUCCUCAGCGAUGUGGGGUAGAAUUUCCUUUGACGAGAACUGGGAAUCUAAAUUAAAUUGAGUUAAAGCAAGAACAAUCUUCCUUUCAGAAUUCUCUGGACAGAGGAAGCCCCUCCUGCCCCUUGGCUGGCCCUGUUUCCUUGACAUUGUGAACCUGAACCGAUUUUUCCCACCCCCCCAACAAUGCCCAUUCUUAGGAUGCCUGCUUCCCACAUGUGGGAACAGAGGUACCGAAAAGCAUUUGCCCAAGGUCACGGUCAUGAAGGAAAGGGAAAGGCUAAUGUGGCCAACUCUGUGGCAGCUCACAGCUGGCUUCUGCACAUCUCAGCUGCAGAAACUGAGCGCCACAAAGCUUUGAAUUGGACCUCAUCCAGGACCCAGAUUUUGAGCACCCAGUACCAAAGGCCCGCUCUGGACCAGAGAGCUUCCUCAGAAUCCAGGGAACUAGUCACAUCUAAUUGUAAUAAAGGAUGCUGGCCCCAGAGAGCCAGCUCCAGAGUACCCCACAUAUCUCUGUCCCACCACCUCUGUACCUUACCCGUGUCUGGGUCCAUCAAGUCCCAUCAGCAUCUCCAGUCUGUGGCAUUGGAGUACGUUCCAUUGAGACACUGGCCUUCAUCGUCUUGGCCAAUGACCCAUAAGGCUCUGACCUCUUAAACCCAUUCCAACUGGGUCACAGCCAGGGCAAGGGCCUUGUUCCCAUAGAAGAGCCUGGGUGCAUUCUAGUGGCAGCCACUUAACAAAGAUCAGCCAGACUUGAUGGCAUCCACUGCCCCUUGCUACCUCCGGAAGUCCACGGAGACCAGGAGACUACCCCACCAUGGCCCGGGGGUGGGAGGCUUUUAGCAUUAUUAGGGUAGUAACUGUGGCAACCAUGGUUUUAAAAGUAACCAGUUACAGAAUCUCAGCAGCAGUUCUCUGUCUGAAUGGGGGAUGGAACCCAGAGGCCUGAACCUACCAGACAAGCGCUUGACCACUGAACUACACUCCCAGCCCCUGCCAUGCAUUAAAAAAAAAAAAAAACUACUAGUUUAAGUGUAUCCACUAAUUUACUAACUUGGCUACACUCUACAUUUCAUAAAGAUGUCAUUAGUUGACAAUCUCUGCACCUGGAUCACUAUCCAUUGUUGUUGGUUUUUUAAUUCAGCUGUCCAUGGUUUUUUGGUCUUUUUAAUGGGUUUUGGGUCUGGGAUAAUUUUCAUUGUUUAGGGCAGUUGAUUACAAGUUGUUGUCAAGGGUUAGGACAAAGGCUAACCAGAUUAGAUUUAAGGUUCUUGUUUAAAAAAAAAAACAGAGAAAGAAAGAAGAAGAAAAAGACAAUUACUAGUUUUAAAUAUUUUACAUUGGAUUGGAUUGUUUUAUAUUGUAUACAAAUUAUAUAUAUAUUGAAAUUGAUAUUGUUAGAAAAUGCUAUAUGUAUAUUUCUAAUUGUACUUAUACCGUUCAUUUAACAAUGCAAUUUUCUGAUCCUUGAAUGUUAUUAUUACCAACUAUUAGGAUAUAAAGAAAUGAAAGUUAGUAGUUAGACAUUACAAUAGAACUUGUAGUCAUAUUAGAUAUGUUUUAAAAAUUGAGCAGAGGCCGGGCAGUGGUGGCGCACGCCUUUAAUCCCAGCACUCGGGAGGCAGAGCCAGGCGGAUCUCUGUGAGUUUGAGGCCAGCCUGGGCUACCAAGUGAGUUCCAGGAAAAGGCGCAAAGCUACACAGAGAAACCCUGUCUCGAAAAACCAAAAAAAAAAAAAAAAAAAAAAUUGAGCAGAUAUAUUUUAGACAGGUUAUCUUCAAACCCUUCAGAGAUCUACAGAAUAUGGCAUUUAAAAUGUUUUAAUAACUUAGAAAAUUUUUCUUUUUUGUUAUGAUUAUGAGACAUGUCGGCUCCUGGCAGUACCAAUCUACUUCAGAGAAAAUAUGGGCAUUGAAGAAACUGCAUAUGGAGUUAACUUUCAUUGUGGCAAAAGUUAGCCACUGGACAACAAAGUAUCCUCGAAUUAACUGCUGACAAAAUGGACAGACAGGACAUGAAACAAAGGACUACUGAUUCUUGCCAAAACAAGUGUGGUUAUGGCUUUAUCAAAAGGCAUCUUCUGAGGCCAGGAUAAUAUGGCACCAUCCCUGAAGUGGCCUUCGCAAUUCGGAAAAGGUACAGUGCCCUUUUCUUCAAAGGCAGCUGAACAGGCAGUGGGCCGAUGGCCUCUGAUGUGCAAUGGAACAGCAGCUGAAACAGUUAUUCUUGAAGAGUAACUAAGCUCACGCCCCUCAAUAGUAGACUGGCAUUUGAUAGAGGGAUGUGGAGAAGAACGGGAUGCUGAGAUGAAGCCAUAUAUACACAGCCAAAAAGAAUGGACAGCUGAAUUAAAAAACCAACAACAAUUUCCAGAAUUUAAAAUCCUGAAUCAUGACAUGACACUAGUGGAAUUCAGGUGUUUCUGGUACAUGGACUGCUCUCACCCAAUGUGAGGUUGAACUGUUGACCUUGUGUACAUCCUACUUCACAAAUGAGUCUGUCAGAUAUGCUAAGCCUAUAGGCUAAAGAUGAUGCCCCAGCAUUGCGGAAAAACCUCAGGUGACUGUCCAGGCAGCUGGCUGUUUCUGUCAACUCACAAAUUUUUUGGAAGUUGCUUGCAUGCACUUUCUGUUUUUAUUUUUGUUAGCUAAUAUUAUUUCCUUCUUGGGUCUCUGAGGGAGUUAAAGAUUAGUUAGUUAUAGUUGAAGGUUAGUUAUAGUUAAAGAUUAAUUAAGAUAGAAAGCAAAUUAGAUACAUUUUGGACUUAACAAAAUAGAAUAGAUAAUAAAAUUAUUUUCUCUGAAUUUGUCAAAUACAAAUGGACUAGACAUUGUUUAGACAUUUAUUACUUGUAUAUAUUGUAUAUAGUCAUUGUACUUUUGUAUAUAGUUUUUCUUUUGUUAGUUAUAACCUUUUUCUUUUUUUUCCUUUUUAUUAAAAUAGAAAAGGGGAAAUGUGGUUGUAUUUUACUUGUACUGAAAUGUGAUUUUAAUUGUAUGUUAAUAAAUAAAGUUGUCUGGGGGUCAGAGCUAUUAGAGCCAUAGCAAGUGCGUGGCGGCAGUGGCGCACGCCUUUAAGGACCUGGAGGGUGGUACAUUCAGGCAGUGACGAGGCAGUCACAUGUUUGGGUUUACAACCAAUGAGAAGGCAGAACAGAAAGACUAUAAAGACAUACACACAGGAAGUAGGUUCGCUUUUCGGAGAGCUCUCUUGGCUGAAGAGGAUCCCUGAAUCAGGAAGGGUGAGGCUCUUAGCUCUGACCUCUUGGCUUUCUUC